rnacentral:tRNA from 2 species
GGUCCCGUAGUUCAAUGGAUAGAAUACAAGAUUCCGGUUCUUACGAUAUGGGUUCGAUUCCCGUCGGGACUACCA